CCUACGGGAGGCAGCAGUAGGGAAUCUUCCACAAUGGGCGAAAGCCUGAUGGAGCAACGCCGCGUGAGUGAUGAAGGCCUUCGGGUUGUAAAACUCUGUCAUUCGGGACGAACCGGAGUCUGAGGAAAUGCAGACUCUCUGACGGUACCGGAGGAGGAAGCCCCGGCUAACUACGUGCCAGCAGCCGCGGUAAUACGUAGGGGGCAAGCGUUGUCCGGAUUCACUGGGCGUAAAGCGCGCGCAGGCGGUGAUGUAAGUCUGAGGUGAAAACCCGAAGCUCAACUUCGGGACUGCCUUGGAUACUGCGUCACUUGAGGAUAGGAGAGGCAAGGGGAAUUCCACGUGUAGCGGUGAAAUGCGUAGAGAUGUGGAGGAACACCUGUGGCGAAGGCGCCUUGCUGGCCUAUUUCUGACGCUGAGGCGCGAAAGCGUGGGGAGCAAACAGGAUUAGAUACCCUGGUAGUCCACGCUGUAAACGAUGAGUGNUAGUGUAGGUGGUGUCAUACCACUCUGUGCGACGACGUACGACAUUAAGACACUCCGCCGUCGGGAGGUACGGUCGCGAGACGUAGAAACGUACGAAAGAAGUUAGACGGACGUUGGAGACGNGGCCGACGGACGACACGAGGGGAGGUUAGG
rnacentral:rRNA from 1 species